CUCUCUCUCUCUCUCUCUCUCUCUCUCUCUCUCUCGAUCUUCGUCCCGAUCUCCUUUCCCUUUCUAUCUCAAGCCCUUCAAGCAGAGGAAGCAAAAGAAGAAAGUAGAAGACAAGUUCGUAGCUCGCACAUAUUCAGUGAUGGCACCAGGUGGGAGAGUACGUCGUUCGCGCACUGGAUCUACCCCUUCUACUCGUGAAGUGACGGAGCCAGCAUCGCCGUCACAUGUUGCAUCGCAGGCGUCUGAUCCUUCAGUCGCGCAUACACCGGGCACUGCAUCGUCGUCGACUAGCCGACGAGGACGUGGACCCACGCGUGGGUUGUUUUUAGAGCGACUUACGUGUGAGGGUAGGGUGACGGUAGAGUUCCCACAGGACUGCAUUAGACUUGUUGGGAACAAUGCCAUGUUGUUUAUGUCAGAAGUUGGUGUCUUAUGCCGAUCUCUGA